rnacentral:sRNA from 1 species
UCUCUUUCAGUUUUCUCGCCAGGAGGUU